UACGGGGGGGGCAAGCGUUGUUCGGAAUUACUGGGCGUAAAGGGCGCGUAGGCGGCGCGGUAAGUCACUUGUGAAAUCUCUGAGCUUAACUCAGAACGGCCAAGUGAUACUGCAGUGCUAGAGUGCAGAAGGGGCAAUCGGAAUUCUUGGUGUAGCGGUGAAAUGCGUAGAUAUCAAGAGGAACACCUGAGGUGAAGGCGGCUCACUGGACUGGUACUGACGCUGAGGCGCGAAAGCGUGGGGAGCAAACGGG
rnacentral:rRNA from 1 species